CAAGGAUAAAUACUCCUGGGUGACCGAUAGCGAAGUAGUACCGUGAGGGAAAGGUGAAAAGAACCCCCAUCGGGGAGUGAAAUAGAACAUGAAACCGUAAGCUCCCAAACAGUGGGAGGAAAAUGAUAUUUUUGACCGUGUGCCUGUUGAAGAAUGAGUCGGUGACUUAUAGGCAGUGGCUUGGUUAAGGGAACCCACCAGAGCCGUAGUGAGAGCGAGUCUUCAUGGGGCAAUUUUCACUGCUUAUGGACCCGAACCUGGGUGAUCUAUCCAUGACCAAGAUGAAGCUUGGGUGAAACUAAGUGGAGGUCUGAACCGACUGAUGUUGAAAAAUCAGCGGAUGAGUCGUGGUUAGGGGUGAAAUGCCACUCGAACCCAGAGCUAGAUGGUUCUCCCCAAAAUGCGUUGAGGUGCAGUAGUUGACUGGACCAUCUAGGGGUAAAGCACUAUUUCGGUAUGGGCCACGAGAGCGGUACCAAAUUGAGGCAAACUCUGAAUACUAGAUUGCCCCAAUAAAAGGGGUAAAGGUCAUCCAGUGAGACGAUGGGGGAUAAGCUUCAUCGUUGAGAGGGAAACAACCCAUAUCAUCAGCUAAGGCCCCUAAAUGACCACUCAGUGAUGAAGGAAGUACGAGUGCAAAGACAGCCAGGAGGUUUUCCUAGAAGCAACCAACCUUGAAAGAGUGCGUAAUAACUCACUGAUCGAGCGCUCUUGUGCCAAAGAUGAAAGGGACUAAGCGAUAUGCUGAAGCUGUGGGAUGUAAAAAUACAUCGGUAGGGGAGCGUUCCGCCUCAGAGGGAAGCACCGGCGCGAGCAGGUGUGGAUGAAGAGGAAGUGAGAAUGUCGGCUUGAGUAACGCAAACAUUGGUGAGAAUCCAAUGCCCUGAAAAACUAAGGGUUCCUCCGCAAGGUUCAUCCACAGAGGGUGAGUCAGGGCCUAAGAUCAGGCCGAAAGGUGUAGUCGAUGGACAACAGGUUAAUAUUCCUAUACUACCCCUUGUUGGUCCCGAGUGACAGAGGAGGCUAGGUUAGCCGAAAGAUGGUUAUCGGUUCAAGGAUGCAAGGUGACCCUACUUUUUUCAGGGUAAGAAGGGGUAGAGAAAAUGCCUCGAGCCAAUGUCUGAGUACCAAGCGCUACAACACUGAAGUAACACAUGCCAUACUCCCAGGAAAAGCUCAAACGACCUUUAACAAACAGGUAACUGUACCCGAAACUGACACAGGUAGGUAGGUAGAGAAUACCUAGGGGCGCGAGACAACUCUCUCUAAGGAACUCAGUAAAAUAGCCCCGUAACUUCGGGAGAAGGGGUGCCUCCUUAGGAGGUCGCAGUGACCAGGCCCGAGUGACUGUUUACCAAAAA
rnacentral:ncRNA from 1 species